GACGAACGCUGGCGGCGUGCCUAAUACAUGCAAGUUGAGCGCUGAAGGUUGGUACUUGUACCAACUGGAUGAGCAGCGAACGGGUGAGUAACGCGUGGGGAAUCUGCCUUUGAGCGGGGGACAACAUUUGGAGACGAAUGCUAAUACCGCAUAAAAACUUUAAACACAAGUUUUAAGUUUGAAAGAUGCAAUUGCAUCACUCAAAGAUGAUCCCGCGUUGUAUUAGCUAGUUGGUGAGGUAAAGGCUCACCAAGGCGAUGAUACAUAGCCGACCUGAGAGGGUGAUCGGCCACAUUGGGACUGAGACACGGCCCAAACUCCUACGGGAGGCAGCAGUAGGGAAUCUUCGGCAAUGGACGAAAGUCUGACCGAGCAACGCCGCGUGAGUGAAGAAGGUUUUCGGAUCGUAAAACUCUGUUGGUAGAGAAGAACGUUUGUGAGAGUGGAAAGCUCAUCAAGUGACGGUAACUACCCAGAAAGGGACGGCUAACUACGUG
rnacentral:rRNA from 1 species